GGCAAUCCACAAAGGUUUAGAGGAGGAAUUAAAUCCAUUUUUCAGCAGAAAUAACUAUUUUUGUGAUUAUCAUAUAGAUUCCAUGAGCUACACUUUGGUCCUAUCAAGACAGGCAGGCAGCUGCAUGAGAGGUGGAAAGAGAGAAAAUGAUUGAGAUGAAAUCACCACCAACAGCUACUGCAGGCAGGAAGGCAGCAUUGGAUCCCAGCCACAAUACUUCUGCAACCUGGUUUCAAUGGGCCUGAUGGGAUACCAUAAUGUAACCUACACUGAACAAGGACCUUUUGUGAGAAGCAUAGCAAGGAACUUCAGUCUGGCUUUCAAAAGUGCUGAACACCCAAAACUCCUAUUGAGGUCUCCGGGAGUUACAGGUACUCAAUACCACUGCAAAUUAAAGCUGAAUGAACUGUUUCAUGUUUGCUGUGAGUUUGCUUUCUGUACAGUGCCAUCACAUCUGCAAAAUGACCCUGAGUUAACCUCCUAAGCCUUCUGAGGCAGAAACUUCCUAUGCAUAGGUACAACAUCUCACACAAUGCAGUACAGAGCUUAGCAAAGGCCUCCAGGCACUAAUACAAUAAAAUUAAUUAGUAAAAACAACAGUAAAUUAUAAAUUCACAGUAUCUGUAUUUGCAGGGCAAUGGGGAAUACAUAUUUGGGCUAGUUAUGUGUAGAUGGGCCUGCUUUUGCUAUCCAGUUUCCAUCUGACUAUCUGUGGUCUGAUUUGUUGGACAAAUUAUGUCCAAUGUGUUCAUAGUUUUUGUGAACUUAAAAAUUUGUCUUUUGAUGACUCUGUAAAAGCCACAUUGAGAAAUAGUAAAAAAUAAAUAAAUGAUUCUUAUUAUUGCCUUCA